rnacentral:rRNA from 1 species
GACGAACGCUGGCGGCGUGUUUAACACAUGCAAGUCGAGCGGUAAGGCCCUUUCGGGGGUACACGAGCGGCGAACGGGUGAGUAACACGUGGGUGACCUGCCCUCAGCCCUGGGAUAAGCCUGGGAAACCGGGUCUAAUACUGGAUAUGACUCCAUGACGCAUGUUGUGGGGUGGAAAGCCUUGUGCGGCUGAGGAUGGGCCCGCGGCCUAUCAGCUUGUUGGUGGGGUGAUGGCCACCAAGGCGACGACGGGUAGCCGGCCUGAGAGGACGAUCGGCCACACUGGGACUGAGACACGGCCCAGACUCCUACGGGAGGCAGCAGUGGGGAAUCUUGCGCAAUGGGCGAAAGCCUGACGCAGCGACGCCGCGUGAGGGAUGACGGCCU